rnacentral:rRNA from 1 species
UACGUAGGGUGCGAGCGUUAAUCGGAAUUACUGGGCGUAAAGCGCGCGCAGGCGGUCCUUUAAGUCUGAUGUGAAAGCCCACGGCUCAACCGUGGAGGGUCAUUGGAAACUGGAGGACUUGAGUACAGAAGAGGAAAGCGGAAUUCCACGUGUAGCGGUGAAAUGCGUAGAGAUGUGGAGGAACACCAGUGGCGAAGGCGGCUUUCUGGUCUGUAACUGACGCUGAGGCGCGAAAGCGUGGGGAGCAAACAGG